rnacentral:rRNA from 1 species
CUCGCGUGUCGUGUCAGCAGCCGCGGUAAUACGAAGGGUGCAAGCGUUACUCGGAAUUACUGGGCGUAAAGCGUGCGUAGGUGGUUUGUUAAGUCUGAUGUGAAAGCCCUGGGCUCAACCUGGGAAUGGCAUUGGAUACUGGCAGGCUAGAGUGCGGUAGAGGGUAGUGGAAUUCCCGGUGUAGCAGUGAAAUGCGUAGAGAUCGGGAGGAACAUCUGUGGCGAAGGCGACUACCUGGACCAGCACUGACACUGAGGCACGAAAGCGUGGGGAGCAAACAGGAUUAGAUACCCUGGUAGUCCACGCCCUAAACGAUGCGAACUGGAUGUUGGGCUCAACUUGGAGCUCAGUAUCGAAGCUAACGCGUUAAGUUCGCCGCCUGGGGAGUACGGUCGCAAGACUGAAACUUAAAUGAAUUGGCGGG